UUGCUUUGGUGGCAUAUAUACUAAAAUUGGAAUGAUACAGAGAAGAUUAGCAUGGCCCCUGAGCAAGGAUGACAUGAAAAUUCAUGACAUGUUCCAUAUUUUU
ensembl:snRNA U6 U6 spliceosomal RNA